GAUGAACGCUAGCUACAGGCUUAACACAUGCAAGUCGAGGGGAAACGGCAUUGAGUGCUUGCACUCUUUGGACGCCGACCGGCGCACGGGUGAGUAACGCGUAUCCAACCUUCCCAUUACUGUGGGAUAACCUGCCGAAAGGCAGACUAAUACCGCAUAGUCUUCGAUGACGGCAUCAGAUUUGAAGUAAAGAUUUAUCGGUAAUGGAUGGGGAUGCGUCUGAUUAGCUUGUUGGCGGGGUAACGGCCCACCAAGGCUACGAUCAGUAGGGGUUCUGAGAGGAAGGUCCCCCACAUUGGAACUGAGACACGGUCCAAGCUCCUACGGGAGGCAGCAGUGAGGAAUAUUGGUCAAUGGACGGAAGUCUGAACCAGCCAAGUAGCGUGCAGGAUGACGGCCCUAUGGGUUGUAGACUGCUUUUGUAUGGGGAUAAAGUUAGGGACGUGUCCCUAUUUGCAGGUACCAUACG
rnacentral:rRNA from 1 species